GCGCUUAGCGCUAGUGGACCGUUGGUGCCUACCCCGAACGUGUUUUUUAAGCCUCUGUGCAUCGAGCGACGCACGGAAGUCAGUGGUUUAGCUACCUUUUUUUUGUUGUUGUUUGUUGUAGCUUCGAUAGAUUCCAUCAGGUCGGUGAUCUGGAAAUCCUCGUAGAAACCACCUUUCAUUAUGCAUCGUGUCCUGUCCAGAACAGGUUGUAUUUUUAUUUUUCGUUAACUUCCGGCAGGAAUACGUACUUAACGGUUCUUGCCGGAUUCAAGGGUAGGGAAGGCCGAUCACGUUGCAGCUUGCUGCACUGUCCUUGUCAUCCGGCAAGCCUUCUUUCUCCCAAAAAGACGUACACUAGGGUCCUUUCUCUUUACUACCGCCUUCGGCGGAAAUCUCUAGUACUAGCGAAAUGCCUCGUCAUCUAGUCAGUGACGCGCAUGACUGGAUUACCGAGAUUCCCACUGUCCCUAUCUACUAUCGAGCGAAACCACAGCCGAGGAAACGGGCUUGG
rnacentral:ncRNA from 1 species